rnacentral:misc_RNA from 1 species
GAAAUGCGAUAAGUAAUGUGAAUUACAGAAUUCAGUGAAUCAUCGAAUCUUUGAACGCACAUUGCGCCCGCCAGCACUCUGGCGGGCAUGCCUGUUCGAGCGUCAUUUCAACCCUCAGAACCCCUUGCGGGAUCUGGCGUUGGGGAUUGGCAUCCAGCCAGCCCCGAAAUCUAGUGGCGGUCCCUCCGCGACCUCCCCUGUGCAGUAGCGAUACCUCGCAGCGGGACAGCGGUCUGACCACGCCGUAAAACCCCCAACUUCUCAAGGUUGACCUCGAAUCAGGUAGGAAUACCCGCUGAACUUGAGC